GCAGUCCGUCGAAGUGGGAGUCGACCAAAAGGCACCGAAGCGACCAGGAUGAAAGAGAGAGGAUUCGGAGCAGGAGCUUAGGAAAGAGAAAAGGAGAGGGAGUUAAGGCUAUAAGGGAGGGUGCUGACGCUGUAAUUGCAGUUGGAGGAGAUGGAACUCUUCAUGAGGUUGUUAAUGGAUUCUUUUGGGCCUCAAAAACUGUAAGCAGUCACAAUAGGAGUGAUGGAGACCAGGUGUUCUUGUAUGCAAAAUUUUAAUUGAUUUGGAGUUGAAAGUUAUGUUUCACUAUGCAUGGUGUUGUAGAUUUGGGUGCCUAAGCAUAUUGUAAAGGUUAGACCGUUAGAAGAUCUUAAACUAAAUGUGAUGCGAGAGAAGCAUUAUAAAUUUGCUUUAGUAGGAGUGAUAAACCAGCAGAAGAACACGAUAAACAAGACAGAUUAUAGAGAAAUAGCGGGGGUUAGCAUGGGUAACUUGCAGGUAGAACCGAAACUAGAAUCGGAACCUACCCAGAACUGAUACUAUGCGGAUGGGUUUUGGUUCCAUUUUUUUGAAACCAACACUGUGUGGUUCUGAUUUGGUUCCUACAUGUGGAGGAACCGGAAUCGGAACUGGAACCGGAACUUGGAAAAAAGAAUCUGUAGCGAGUA